rnacentral:lncRNA from 1 species
UUUACAUUUUUCACCUACUUACCGAUAACUCUAGGGGUCAAUAGAGGUUUUUUCUACAUGUGGACCCAAUAUCCAAUUUAUCAAUUAACUGGUCGUCCUCAUACCCCAUCCAAUAAUGGGCGCCAAACGUACUACCGUCUCAAUACUCUGUCCAAUAUAAGGGUGAACAAUUACUUUCCAACCCUAUUCGGUAUGAGACUUCUUAGUCUCGUUCGACUGAGGUAAUGUCCACGAUAGGGUUUGCCCUAUGUAUCGGGUUCAUACAUCAUUUUUCAUGAUACCCAGUAAGUCUUUUAUACACAUGUUUACAUCAUCCAUCAGCCACUAAUUACAC